rnacentral:rRNA from 1 species
GACGAACGCUGGCGGCGUGCUUAACACAUGCAAGUCGAACGCGAAAGCUCCCUUCGGGGGGCAAGUAGAGUGGCGCACGGGUGAGUAACACGUAGGUAAUCUACCUUCGGGUGGGGAAUAACAACCGGAAACGGUUGCUAAUACCGCAUAAUGCAGCGGCACCUAAUGGUGACAGUUGUUAAAGCGGGGGAUCGAAAGAUCUCGCGCCUGAAGAGGAGCCUGCGGCGGAUUAGCUAGNGGUAGGGUAACGGCCUACCAAGGCGACGAUCCGUAGCCGGCCUGAGAGGGCGGUCGGCCACACUGACACUGACAUACGGGUCAGACUCCUACGGGAGGCAGCAGUCGGGAAUUUUGGGCAAUGGGCGAAAGCCUGACCCAGCAACGCCGCGUGAAGGAUGAAAUCCCUCGGGAUGUAAACUUCGCAAGAACGGGAAGAAUAAGCCUGUGCUAAUACCACUGGCGAUGACGGUACCGUUUGUAAGCUCCGGCUAACUCCGUGCCAGCAGCCGCAGUAAG